rnacentral:tRNA from 1 species
GCCGGGGUGGCGAAACUGGUAUACGCGCUUGAUUCAAAAUCAAGUGGUGGUAACACCGUGUCGGUUCGACUCCGACCCUCGGCACCA